AUUGAACGCUGGCGGCAGGCUUAACACAUGCAAGUCGAGCGAGCGGCGGACGGGUGAGUAAUGUCUGGGAAACUGCCUGAUGGAGGGGGAUAACUACUGGAAACGGUAGCUAAUACCGCAUACCAUCAGAUGUGCCCAGAUGGGAUUAGCUAGUAGGUGGGGUAAUGGCUCACCUAGGCGACGCUCCCUAGCUGGUCUGAGAGGAUGACCAGCCACACUGGAACGGAGACACGGUCCAGACUCCUACGGGAGGCAGCAGUGGGGAAUAUGGCACAAUGGGCGCAAGCCGGAUGCAGCCAUGCCGGGUGUGUGAAGAAGGCCUUCGGGUUGUAAAGCACUUUCAGCGAGGAGGCGUUACUCGCAGAAGAAGCAACGGCUAAAUAAGGGCCAGCCGCCGCGGUAAUUC
rnacentral:rRNA from 1 species